UAUACUUGCUGAUUCUGCUGAGAGCAUUAAAAAAUUAAUGAAUUAAUACUUGCAAAGUGCUUAGAACUGUGCUUGGCACAUAAUGCAUGCUCUCAAAUGUUAGCAGUUAUUGGCUGGGUGUGGUAGCUCACACCUGUAAUCCCAGCACUUUGGGAGGCCGAGGCGAGCAGAUCACCUGAGGGCGGGAGUUCAAGACCAGCUUGGCCAAUA
rnacentral:lncRNA from 10 species